CACAGCGAAUUGGUUCUGCCGUUCGCGUCCCCCACCCUCUCUGCUCGACAGCGCCCCCGCACAUCGCGCCGCCGCGAAAUCUCGCCCACCUCUCCCCGCUCUUACCCCCCGCCGCGAGAUCCACCCCGCCGUCACCCCCCCCCCCCCCCCCCCCCGCGCUCGCACGUAGGCCCGCCUCUCCCUGCCGUGAUCUCAUCGCGCCGCCCCGUCGAACCGCCGCGGCCACGAGAUCCACCCCGCCGUCCCGCCCCUCCAAGCCGCAGUCUCCUCUUCUAGCAACCCGCCUGGUCGUCGACGCUGCCUGCGUCGUCCGUGUCAUCGUUGCCCCGCCGCCGACAUCCUGGCCAUACUCGUGUGCACGAGGGCCAUGGCGCGGAGUACGCCGGCCCCUUUAGGGGCUCGGAAGCCGUGUUUGGCCACGGUGCAAAGUCGCCACCCGCCUGGCCGUCGACGCAGAGGCCGCGUGGGGCUAUCGGUCGCCGGAGCCCAUGGUGCUGGUUCGUUCUGGCGACGGCGACAACGUCCACUACAUGCUUGCUGUCAUCCGCGUCUUGGUUGCCACGACGUGGACAUCCUAGCCAUACUCGCACACGCGUUGGCUGCCAGUGUCGAUCGCUUCAUUAUAAGAAAAGGUGUACUUCCUCGCCUUCUAGAGGAGAUAUUGUCAACAAGAAUUAUGGUGAAACAAGCAAUGAAAAAAUUGAGUCCAUCACAGCAAGUUCUUCACAGGAUAUUCAAUGCACGGCAGCUUGCUUUGAAGCUGAUAGCUAAUGUCACAUAUAGUUACACAGCUGCUGGAUUCAGUGGUCGAAUGCCUUGUGCAGAGCUUGCAGACAGCAUUAUUCAGUGUGGCCGUAGAACACUCGAAACAACAAUAUCAUUUGUCAACCAGCAUCUUUUGUGGAAAGCUAGGGUUGUGUAUGGUGAUACUGACAGGACUUACCAACUAACCGUAUGAAAAUAUGAUGAUAAAUCUCUACGGUUGAUCACUGACGCUUCAGUAAGUUAUCCAAUUUCAAAAGAGAAGUCUCAAGGUUUGGACCCCAAUAUGCGAGACACGAGCGCUGCUGACUUAGAGGCUGGUGCUCCCACCUUGAAAACUGAUCUCAAAGGGAGAACACAGCAGAAAAAACUGUUAGUCAAGGAGAACUUCGAUUGUUUUGUCUCGUGCAAAACUACAAUAGAUGACAUUGAGUCGAAAUUGAGACAGAUAGAGGAAGAUCCUGAAGGUGCAGGAUAGUUCUUGUGCAAAAGAAUUACAAAAAGAUGGGACUUCAAAUUUAAAUUUUGAAUUGGAACUUGACUCCUUAAGUUCUGAAAAUCUUGAAAGAGAGAUGUCGUCAUUGAAAAGGCAAAGUAUGUACAAAAGAAAACUUGAUUCUUCAGUCUCCCAGCACAAAAGUUGUUUGAAGAUAAGUUCAUUCAAGGAUUUGAAGGAGGUGAUUCUUCAGUACAAGAAAUUUGUAUCCUCCUUUUCUUGACAGAAUCUAUGACAUAAUAACAUCUCAGGCAUGCAUGGCAAUGAGGCACAAUCAGGAUUGAGAACGGAUGGGCUACAAAGUUCUUUGAAGAUGCUGCUAGAGGUAGAGCGCCCACACUUAUGUUCAUGACUUUUGUUGAUAAUUUCCCAGCUUGUCGACAGUUAGAGGCUCUCCCAUUCUUGGAUCCACUGAAGCAUUUUAGAGGUGCUCUAUUCUACUAUCAAAGAUCUGAAAGACCACAUCGAUGAGUUCAUCCAUGCCUCCAUGGACGAGCACAAGACCUGCUUUAAGAAGACGAUCCAGAAGAUGUUUGGGAUGUCGAAGGCUAUUGCAGAGAGAUCCGCGGCAGAAGCGAAGGAAGCUGGAGUUGAAAGUGCUUUGCCACUUCAGACCAGUGUCUCGCAGUAGAAUUUCACGUUG